GGGAGUACGAGGGAUAUGUAGUAUCAUUAAAAGCAUUUUGAUAAAGACUAAUUACUGAGUGCUUUGACCUUAAUCAUAGAAAACUGUCCGCGUAGAACAUUAUUACAAUAGAGAACUCUCAAAUUUCUGGUGCUUCAAUACUUUCAUAGUCUAGAGAAUAAUAUACUACUACAUCUAGGGCAAAACGAGAAUAUUUUGCUUUCCUAAAGUUUAUCAACGAUAUUUUAGUUCAUGGUAUUUGAACCCCUUGCCUCUAUGUGUGGUAGUUGUACAUCUCAAUUUUGCAACCAUUCAAUGGCUGAAGAGGCCUUGCAUUGUGCUGAAACUCUACACCUAGUGGUACCUUUAGAAGCUCAAGUUGUUUCUUGGAGAGUGUCCGAACCUGCAUUUUCAAUAGGUAAGAAAUUACACAUGUAUAAAAUGAGACAAUAAGCUGCGACGCUAAACUUUUUAGAUGGUAAAAUCAAUCAUCAUAAAAAUUAAUUUCAUAUAAUCAAUUCAAUUUUAUUUUUUUGGUGAACAAAGAGGGCCGAUCAAUUCAAUUUCUAUCACAACAUAACUAAAUACACGUACCUUGCCAAUGACAUUCCAAAUGACACCUUCUUUGCAUGGAGGAGUAGUGAGAGAGCCAACAUAUCUAUAAUAUCUAUAGAUCUUUUUAUUUAAUUCAUUUACAUCAAAGGUGCCAAGAGCAAUGUUAGCAUUUUUAUUGCCUGCAUGGUUCUCAUUGACUAGCUUAUAGAACUUGUCUUCAAUCUGCAUCCAAGAACCACAUGUAAUUGGAAGCUAUACUACUAUCUACUUAUGUUAUUUAUGUGCUAUUAACAUUCCAAAUGAUAAACCCUAUAUACUUUAUAUUAUAUGAGUCACAUAAUAAUAGUGAAUGUGAUUUUAACUCUACCUUGGAGAUUAGAGGAUCAGGAACACCCAAUCUAUAGAGCUGUGCCACAACUGCUAUGUUAUUGUUAUCUUCUGUGAAGUGAACUAAGUGGAGCUCGGCGUUAUGUCUGGAUGUCAGAAUAAUUUGUACAAAGAUUAGAGUCCAAAUCAGUCCUCCCAAAAAAGUUAGAAAACUAUAUAGUUGCUACAACACACUCAAAUGUCCCUAAAAAUUUAUUGUAAAGUGACUAAUGUGACUUAAUUUUUAAUUUUUUUAAAAAAAUAUAAUGUGACUUUAAUU
rnacentral:lncRNA from 1 species